UUAAGUGACUAAGCGUACACGGUGGAUGCCUAGGCAGUCAGAGGCGAUGAAGGGCGUGCUAAUCUGCGAAAAGCGUCGGUAAGGUGAUAUGAACCGUUAUAACCGGCGAUACCCGAAUGGGGAAACCCAGUGUGUUUCGACACACUAUCAUGUCAUGAAUACAUAGUGGCAUGAGGCGAACCGGGGGAACUGAAACAUCUAAGUACCCCGAGGAAAAGAAAUCAACCGAGAUUCCCCCAGUAGCGGCGAGCGAACGGGGAGGAGCCCAGAACCUGAAUCGGCUUGUGUGUUAGUGGAAGCGUCUGGAAAGUCGCGCAGUAAAGGGUGAUAGCCCCGUACACUAAAAUGCACAGGUCGUGAGUUCGAUGAGUAGGGCGGGACACGUGACAUCCUGUCUGAAUAUGGGGGGACCAUCCUCCAAGGCUAAAUACUCCUGACUGACCGAUAGUGAACCAGUACCGUGAGGGAAAGGCGAAAAGAACCCCGGCGAGGGGAGUGAAAUAGAACCUGAAACCGUGUACGUACAAGCAGUGGGAGCACCUUCGUGGUGUGACUGCGUACCUUUUGUAUAAUGGGUCAGCGACUUAUAUUUUGUAGCAAGGUUAACCGUAUAGGGGAGCCGUAGGGAAACCGAGUCUUAACUGGGCGAAUAGUUGCAAGGUAUAGACCCGAAACCCGGUGAUCUAGCCAUGGGCAGGUUGAAGGUUGGGUAACACUAACUGGAGGACCGAACCGACUAAUGUUGAAAAAUUAGCGGAUGACUUGUGGCUGGGGGUGAAAGGCCAAUCAAACCGGGAGAUAGCUGGUUCUCCCCGAAAGCUAUUUAGGUAGCGCCUCGUGAACUCAUCUUCGGGGGUAGAGCACUGUUUCGGCUAGGGGGCCAUCCCGGCUUACCAAACCGAUGCAAACUCCGAAUACCGAAGAAUGUUAUCACGGGAGACACACGGCGGGUGCUAACGUCCGUCGUGAAGAGGGAAACAACCCAGACCGCCAGCUAAGGUCCCAAAGUCAUGGUUAAGUGGGAAACGAUGUGGGAAGGCAUAGACAGCCAGGAUGUUGGCUUAGAAGCAGCCAUCAUUUAAAGAAAGCGUAAUAGCUCACUGGUCGAGUCGGCCUGCGCGGAAGAUGUAACGGGGCUAAACCAUGCACCGAAGCUGCGGCAGCGACGCUUAGGCGUUGUUGGGUAGGGGAGCGUUCUGUAAGCCGUUGAAGGUGGCCUGUGAGGGUUGCUGGAGGUAUCAGAAGUGCGAAUGCUGACAUAAGUAACGAUAAAGCGGGUGAAAAGCCCGCUCGCCGGAAGACCAAGGGUUCCUGUCCAACGUUAAUCGGGGCAGGGUGAGUCGACCCCUAAGGCGAGGCUGAAAAGCGUAGUCGAUGGGAAACAGGUUAAUAUUCCUGUACUUGGUGUUACUGCGAAGGGGGGACGGAGAAGGCUAGGCUAGCCGGGCGACGGUUGUCCCGGUUUAAGCGUGUAGGGGGUGUGACCUGGUAAAUCCGGUUGCAUAUCAACCCUGAGGCGUGAUGACGAUGCACUACGGUGCAGAAGUAGUUGAUGCCCUGCUUCCAGGAAAAGCCUCUAAGCUCCAGGUAACAUUGAAUCGUACCCCAAACCGACACAGGUGGUCAGGUAGAGAAUACCAAGGCGCUUGAGAGAACUCGGGUGAAGGAACUAGGCAAAAUGGUGCCGUAACUUCGGGAGAAGGCACGCUGGCAUGUAGGUGAAGUCCCUUGCGGAUGGAGCUGAAGCCAGUCGAAGAUACCAGCUGGCUGCAACUGUUUAAUAAAAACACAGCACUGUGCAAACACGAAAGUGGACGUAUACGGUGUGACGCCUGCCCGGUGCUGGAAGGUUAAUUGAUGGGGUCAGCCGCAAGGCGAAGCUCUUGAUCGAAGCCCCAGUAAACGGCGGCCGUAACUAUAACGGUCCUAAGGUAGCGAAAUUCCUUGUCGGGUAAGUUCCGACCUGCACGAAUGGCGUAAUGAUGGCCAGGCUGUCUCCACCCGAGACUCAGUGAAAUUGAACUCGCUGUGAAGAUGCAGUGUACCCGCGGCAAGACGGAAAGACCCCGUGAACCUUUACUAUAGCUUGACACUGAACAUUGAGCCUUGAUGUGUAGGAUAGGUGGGAGGCUUUGAAGCGUGGACGCCAGUCUGCGUGGAGCCAUCCUUGAAAUACCACCCUUUAAUGUUUGAUGUUCUAACUCGGCCCCAUAAUCUGGGGUGAGGACAGUGUCUGGUGGGUAGUUUGACUGGGGCGGUCUCCUCCCAAAGAGUAACGGAGGAGCACGAAGGUUAGCUAAUCACGGUCGGACAUCGUGAGGUUAGUGCAAAGGCAUAAGCUAGCUUGACUGCGAGAGUGACGGCUCGAGCAGGUACGAAAGUAGGUCUUAGUGAUCCGGUGGUUCUGAAUGGAAGGGCCAUCGCUCAACGGAUAAAAGGUACUCCGGGGAUAACAGGCUGAUACCGCCCAAGAGUUCAUAUCGACGGCGGUGUUUGGCACCUCGAUGUCGGCUCAUCACAUCCUGGGGCUGAAGUAGGUCCCAAGGGUAUGGCUGUUCGCCAUUUAAAGUGGUACGCGAGCUGGGUUUAGAACGUCGUGAGACAGUUCGGUCCCUAUCUGCCGUGGGCGUUGGAAGAUUGAGAGGGGUUGCUCCUAGUACGAGAGGACCGGAGUGAACGCACCACUGGUGUUCGGGUUGUCAUGCCAAUGGCAUUGCCCGGUAGCUAAGUGCGGAAAAGAUAAGCGCUGAAAGCAUCUAAGCGCGAAACUUGCCUCAAGAUGAGUCUUCCCUGGGCCUUUAAGGUCCCUGAAGGAACGUUUAAGACUAAGACGUUGAUAGGCUGGGUGUGUAAGUGCAGCGAUGCAUUGAGCUAACCAGUACUAAUGAUCCGUGAGGCUUAACCUU
rnacentral:rRNA from 1 species